rnacentral:rRNA from 1 species
UACGUAGGGGGCAAGCGUUGUCCGGAAUCACUGGGCGUAAAGCGCGCGCAGGCGGCGAUCUACGUCUGGGGUGAAAGCCCGGAGCUCAACUCCGGGACUGCCUUGGAUACGGGAUCGCUUGAGGAUGGGAGAGGCAAGGGGAAUUCCACGUGUAGCGGUGAAAUGCGUAGAUAUGUGGAGGAACACCUGUGGCGAAGGCGCCUUGCUGGCCAAUUUCUGACGCUGAGGCGCGAAAGCGUGGGGAGCAAACAGG